UCUUCUUCUUCUCUCGCCGCCACAAUUGUUUACAGAGACAGAGAAUUUGGGGGAUCCAUCCAUCAAUUGUUUAGAUGUCUUGGAGAGGUCGAGGAAGAGGAAGAGGACGAGGUGGUGGUGCUGCUGACUAUGGAAAGCCUGAGCCUUUUGAAAUUUUCCCUGAUAUAACGUUACCUGAUCGGAAAUUAAUAUCAAUAGACUCUCAAUUAGUGCAAAGCUAUAAUAGUUUCAAUAGGUUUUGGAGAAACUCUCCUUAUCAUUUAGGCGAUGGUGUUUUAAUCAGAGAGAAUGAGAGUUUAGACAUUGAGAGGUUCUCAGACUCGUUGAAGCCGAAGAGCAAGUCUAAUAAUAAGGGAUCUUUUUAUGAUUUUCUUGUUCUUAGACCUGAUAACUUUCCUAAAGAACUUCUUGGAGAUACUCGAAGAGAACGGCCUGUGAAGAGAGCUAAAUGGAGUCAAGAAGCAGAUUUGUUGAAAUUGGAUGUGUUUGAAAAGCUUGAAGCUAAGCAUAAGGCUGAAGGCACGGAAGAGAAAGAAGAAGGAGAAGAUGAUGAAGAAGUUGAAGAAUCAGAUGGAGAAGAAUCUGAUAACGGAGAUUAUGAUCAGAAUCAAGACUUUGAUGAUGAUGACGAUGAUUAUAAUCAGGCGGAUGAUGAUUUUGAAGCAGUUUAUUGAGAGCACCCUUCUGUUUCCCAAAAGAAUCAAGUUUUGCAGACAACAGAAGCUGAGCCUGUCCCAAGCUUUAGUUUUAGCUGAAACCAUUCAAAUCAAUCUGUUUCGGACGCGUUCUGCCAUACUCUCCGUCACGUGUGUUAAGCUGUACGGCUGCACCUAGGUUCUGUCUACCAAGAGUCUCUUGUGCUUUCUCCAGAAUUGAUUACAGGUACUUUCCUUGAGCCUCUAUCCUGAGCUGCAAAAGUGCAAAUGUCGCUAUACCUGGCUCAGUUUAACCAAUGUCCCGAAAGUAGCCUUCGUCCUCUUUUGAGUAGAAUGAUGGGCAAUGCAAAAGGAAUAGAAGCUCUAAGCAAGAAGGAAAGGCUGCUAGGAGAAAUAUGUUUUAAUGAAAUCAUAACUAAAUGCUUAGUUCUUCUCUCUGUUUCUAUAUAGUGUAGGUCUUGCCUCUAUUGAUGCUUUAGACUAAUGAUUUUUC